rnacentral:rRNA from 1 species
AGUGAAGCGGGAUGAGCUCAAAUUUAAAAUCUGGCGGCCUCAGGUCGUCCGAGUUGUAGUCUAGAGAAUCGUUUUCCGCGUUGGCCUGUGUACAAGUCCCUUGGAACAGGGCGUCAUAGAGGGUGAGAAUCCCGUCCUUGACACAGAUUACCAAUGCUUUGUGAUGCGAUCUCGAAGAGUCGAGUUGUUUGGGAAUGCAGCUCAAAAUGGGUGGUAAAUUCCAUCUAAAGCUAAAUAUUGGCGAGAGACCGAUAGCGAACAAGUACCGUGAGGGAAAGAUGAAAAGCACUUUGGAAAGAGAGUUAAACAGUACGUGAAAUUGUUAAAAGGGAAACGAUUGAAGUCAGUCAUGCUUUCCGAGACUCAGCCGAUUCUGUCGGUGUACUUCUCGGUUGGCAGGCCAGCAUCAGUUUCGAUCUGUGGAAAAGGUUGGAGGGAACGUGGCAUCUUCGGAUGUGUUAUAGCCCUUCUUCGAAUACAUAGAGCGGGACUGAGGAACGCAGCGCGCCUUUUAUUAGGUUGGCCCUCGGGUACAUACGCGCUUAGGAUGCUGGCAUAAUGGCUUUAAACGACCCGUCUUGA